rnacentral:rRNA from 1 species
AAAACAGUAAAAUUUUUCUGUGGGCUUCUUCUAUUUGGAAAACCGGGGGAAUUUUGGGAUUAAUACAGGGGAAAAAACCCGACUUUGGGGAAGGGUUGUGUUUAUUAGACAAAGAACCAACCCCCUCUGGCUGGUUUUGGGGUUUUUCUAUAAUAACCAAGGAAUCGCUUCUUUCGGCGGCGAUGUCUCAUUCAAGUUUCUGACCUAUCAGCUUUCGACGGUAGGGUAUGGGCCUACCGUGGCUUUGACGGGUAACGGAGAAUUAGGGUUUGAUUCCGGAGAGGGAGCCUGAGAAACGGCUACCACAUAUAAGGAAGGCAGCUGGC